UACGAAGGGGGCUAGCGUUGCUCGGAAUGACUGGGCGUAAAGGGCGCGUAGGCGGUGUACACAGUCAGGCGUGAAAUUCCCGGGCUCAACCUGGGGGCUGCGCUUGAUACAUGCACGCUUGAGUUCGGAAGAGGGUCGUGGAAUUCCCGGUGUAGCGGUGAAAUGUGUAGAGAUCGGGAGGAACACCGGUGGCGAAGGCGGGUCUCUGGGCAAUUCCUGACGCUGAGGCGCGAAAGCGUGGGGAGCAAACGGG
rnacentral:rRNA from 1 species